CACUCUAAGCGGUGGAUCACUCGGCUCAUGGGUCGAUGAAGAACGCAGCAAACUGUGCGUCAUCGUGUGAACUGCAGGACACAUGAACAUCGACAUUUUGAACGCAUAUCGCAGUCCACGCUAGUCUUCUACUGCAGCUAAUGCUGUAGCGGCGGUG
rfam:Drosophila virilis strain TSC#15010-1051.87 Ctg01_7079, whole genome shotgun sequence.